rnacentral:rRNA from 1 species
UGGGGAAUUUUGGACAAUGGGCGCAAGCCUGAUCCAGCAAUGCCGCGUGCAGGAAGAAGGCCUUCGGGUUGUAAACUGCUUUUGUACGGAGCGAAAAGGCUCUCUCUAAUACAGGGGGCUCACGACGGUACCGUAAGAAUAAGCACCGGCUAACUACGUG